rnacentral:rRNA from 1 species
CACGUAGGGGGCAAGCGUUGUCCGGAUUUAUUGGGCGUAAAGAGCUCGUAGGUGGUUUGUCGCGUUGUUCGUGAAAACCUGAGGCUUAACCUUGGGCGUGCGGGCGAUACGGGCAGACUGGAGUACUGCAGGGGAGACUGGAAUUCCUGGUGUAGCGGUGGAAUGCGCAGAUAUCAGGAGGAACACCGGUGGCGAAGGCGGGUCUCUGGGCAGUAACUGACGCUGAGGAGCGAAAGCGUGGGGAGCGAACAGG